GUCUACAACCCUGCCACCCUGAAUAAGCCCGAUGUCUGAUGCUGGAAGCUAAGCAGGCUUGGGCCUGGUUAGUACUUGGGUGGAAGACCACCUAGAAAGAUCAGGUGCUGUAGGCA
rfam:Pteropus alecto contig87320, whole genome shotgun sequence.